CAUGCUCAAAAAUUGGGUGCUCUUUCUUCCACAUACCAAGAAGAAGAAUUCGUGACUUAGAGAUUAAGGAUCGAGGAGAAGAAGAAGAAGACAGUAGAUCAAGGAGUUGAUCUCGCAGUUAAGAUCCAAAGAGUUUAUCAAAGUCUUCAAGGUCAAGAUUAUUCUUGAGAAGAAGAAUAUUCUACGAGAAAAAAAAAGUUUGAGAUAGAUUUUGAUGGAUACCCA
rnacentral:lncRNA from 1 species